rnacentral:rRNA from 1 species
CUAAUUGACUCAACGCGGGGAAACUCACCAGGUCCAGACACAAUGAGGAUUGACAGAUUGAGAGCUCUUUCUUGAUUUUGUGGGUGGUGGUGCAUGGCCGUUCUUAGUUGGUGGAGUGAUUUGUCUGCUUAAUUGCGAUAACGAACGAGACCUUAACCUGCUAAAUAGCCCGUGUUGCUUUGGCAGCACGCUGGCUUCUUAGAGGGACUAUCGGCUCAAGCCGAUGGAAGUUUGAGGCAAUAA